AUUGAACGCUGGCGGCAGGCCUAACACAUGCAAGUCGAACGGUAGCACAGAGAGCUUGCUCUCGGGUGACGAGUGGCGGACGGGUGAGUAACGUCUGGGAAACUGCCCGCUGGAGGGGGAUAACUACUGGAAACGGUAGCUAAUACCGCAUAACGUCGCAAGACCAAAGUGGGGGACCUGCGGGCCUCCCACCAUCGGAUGUGCCCAGAUGGGAUUAGCUAGUAGGUGGGGUAAUGGCUCACCUAGGCGACGAUCCCUAGCUGGUCUGAGAGGAUGACCAGCCACACUGGAACUGAGACACGGUCCCGACUCCUACGGGAGGCAGCAGUGGGGAAUAUUGCACAAUGGGCGCAAGCCUGAUGCAGCCAUGCCGCGUGUAUGAAGAAGGCCUUCGGGUUGUAAAGUACUUUCAGCGGGGUGGAAGGCGGUGAAGUUAAUAACUUCACCGAUUGACGUUACCCGCAGAAGAAGCACCGGCUAACUCCGUGCCAGCAGCCGCCGUAA
rnacentral:rRNA from 1 species